rnacentral:lncRNA from 1 species
GGUACCCUCUGCAGUCACCAGUACAUUCAAUAACUCAAGCAAAGUAGCAUCAAUCUUAUCAUAUGGUAGUUCAUGAUAAACUGCUCAUAUGAAUCAAGAAGUGACUGGAGGAUCAGAUCCAUUUGCAAUUCUUUAUCCAUGUUCAUAUUGAAAAUUCUGAAGCUCCUUUAUGUCCUUGAUCAUUGUCAAAUAAUGAUCAUUAAUGGACAGCCCAUCACACAUCUUCACUCUAAAAAGUCUCUGGG